UAGAGUCCAAAGGACGGCGUAAGAAGUUGCAAGAAGUUGGUUAUGUGACAACCAUAUGCUUCACAUGUUUUCUAGUCAGAUGCAUCAUGAUGUGCUUUAAUGCAUUUGACAAAGGUGCUGACCUUGAUGUUUUA